rfam:Gossypium hirsutum cultivar TM-1 unplaced genomic scaffold scaffold120.1, whole genome shotgun sequence
CUCAAGGAAGCGCUUUGCCUACGUGGACAGAAAACGCUUCCUUGAGGGCGCGCUUUCUGUCCAUUUUCUGUCCACGUAGGCAAAGCGCUUCCUUGAAG